UACGGAGGAUGCGAGCGUUAUCCGGAUUUAUUGGGUUUAAAGGGUGCGUAGGCGGGCUUUUAAGUCAGCGGUAAAAAUUCGGGGCUCAACCCCGUCCGGCCGUUGAAACUGGGGGCCUUGAGUGGGCGAGAAGAAGGCGGAAUGCGUGGUGUAGCGGUGAAAUGCAUAGAUAUCACGCAGAACCCCGAUUGCGAAGGCAGCCUGCCGGCCCCACACUGACGCUGAGGCACGAAAGCGUGGGGAGCAAAUAGG
rnacentral:rRNA from 1 species